AACGAGAACCUCGACAAAUGACAUCGGCAACGAUUGAAUUCCUCCUUUAUUCUUCACUUUUCAAUCAAAUUUCUAUCUUCCAGCAACUACAGAAACUCUAUAUAGAACACACGCAUUACAUGCAUGAAAAGAAUCAAAAUUAUUGACGACUUCAAGUACAGAUACUGGUUCGGAUAGAGAGGAAAAGAUCGAAGGUAUAGAUAUAGCUAUAGAUGUAUAGAUACAGAGGUGUUGAUAUAGUGAGAGAAAGAGAAAUGUCGACAUUUUGUAGAGAGAGAAACAGAAGAUGCAGGGGGCGGAUCCUGGAAGAUGCAUUCUUUACUUGCAAAGGAUUUGACUCUGUCGACACUAUAUAGGCA
rnacentral:lncRNA from 1 species